GGGGUAAAGUUUAAUUUUAGCUUAAUGAUUUUCUCUAUUUUUUAUUUUACAUGUAAAUUUUAGUGUGAAUAAUUAAAUAUUUAAAUAAUAUUUAAUUUUUGAUUUUAAUCGCAGUAUAAAAUAUUAAAUAUUAAAUAAGUUUAGAUUUGGGAAUAAAAUUAAAAAUUGACAAAAUUUGUGCCAGCAGUUGCGGUUACACAAAUAGUUUAAGAAAAUUAUUUUAGAAGUAGUUAAUUUAAAAUUUUAAUAAUUAUAAUUAAAUUUUUAAAGUGAAAUUUAAAAUUUAAAUAGAAUUAAUAUAAAAUUUUUUGAGGCUAAUAAAUUUAAAUUAAAAACUAGGAUUAGAUACCCUAUUAUUUUAAACUUAAAUAUAUUUUCUAAAUUAGUAACAGUUUAUGAUCUCCAAAAUUAAAAAAUUUGGCGGUACUUUAGUCUUUUCAGAGGAACCUGUUCUAUAAUCGAUAAUCCACGAUUAAUUGUACUUAUCUUAAAAAUUUAUAUAUCGUCGUAGUUUGAAUAUUUUAAAAGAAUAAAUAAUAUUCAAAAUUUAAAAUUUUAAAUUAAAUCAGAUCAAGGUGUAGUUUAUAGGUAAGAAGAAAUGGGUUACAUUAAAUAUAUUUUUAAAUAUAUUUAUGAAAUUGAAUAUUGAAAUUGGAUUUGAAAGUAAUUUUUUAUAUUUUUAAAAAAUGAUUUAAGCUCUAAAGUAUGUACAUAUUGCCCGUCGCUUUUGUUUUAAGAUGAAAUAAGUCGUAACAAAGUAGAUUUACUGGAAAGUGAAUCUAGAAA
rnacentral:ncRNA from 1 species